rnacentral:rRNA from 1 species
UACGGAGGGUGCGAGCGUUGUCCGGAAUCACUGGGCGUAAAGGGCUCGUAGGUGGCCAACUAAGUCAGACGUGAAAUCCCUCGGCUUAACCGGGGAACUGCGUCUGAUACUGGAUGGCUUGAGUUUGGGAGAGGGAUGCGGAAUUCCAGGUGUAGCGGUGAAAUGCGUAGAUAUCUGGAGGAACACCGGUGGCGAAGGCGGCAUCCUGGACCAACACUGACACUGAGGAGCGAAAGCCAGGGGAGCAAACGGG